UAGGUUCCCAUACUCUAGGUUCUAUGUCCAUGUCACUCAACCUAGAUACACUUGCUAGGUUUUUGUCAUCUUUGCCUAGAUGUCCACUUCUAGGUUUACUAGUUCGACCUAGGUUUACUAACACUAGGUUCGAUGCCACACACCUAGAUUGCUCGACUCUAGGUUCACUUGUUUAACCUAUGUUCUUUAAUACUAGGUUAGAUGCCACUCAAUCUACCUGACAACCUAGUUGCCCAAUCAACUCU
rnacentral:lncRNA from 1 species